GACGAACGCUGGCGGCGUGCUUAACACAUGCAAGUCGAACGAUGAAGGCUGGAGCUUGCUCCGGCCGGAUUAGUGGCGAACGGGUGAGUAACACGUGAGUAACCUGCCCUUCACUCUGGGAUAACUACCGGAAACGGUGGCUAAUACCGGAUACGACCUUCGGAGGCAUCUCCUGAAGGUGGAAAGAACUUUGGUGAAGGAUGGACUCGCGGCCUAUCAGGUAGUUGGUGAGGUAACGGCUCACCAAGCCGACGACGGGUAGCCGGCCUGAGAGGGUGACCGGCCACACUGGGACUGAGACACGGCCCAGACUCCUACGGGAGGCAGCAGUGGGGAAUAUUGCACAAUGGGCGCAAGCCUGAUGCAGCAACGCCGCGUGAGGGACGAAUGCCUUCGGGUUGUAAACCUCUUUUAGCAGGAAAGAAGCGAAAGUGACGGUACCUGCAGAAAAAGCACCGGCUAACUACGUG
rnacentral:rRNA from 1 species